rnacentral:rRNA from 1 species
ACGAACGCUGGCGGCGUGCCUAAUACAUGCAAGUAGAACGCUGAAGAGAGGAGCUUGCUCUUCUUGGAUGAGUUGCGAACGGGUGAGUAACGCGUAGGUAACCUGCCUUGUAGCGGGGGAUAACUAUUGGAAACGAUAGCUAAUACCGCAUAACAAUGGAUGACACAUGUCAUUUAUUUGAAAGGGGCAAUUGCUCCACUACAAGAUGGACCUGCGUUGUAUUAGCUAGUAGGUGAGGUAACGGCUCACCUAGGCGACGAUACAUAGCCGACCUGAGAGGGUGAUCGGCCACACUGGGACUGAGACACGGCCCAGACUCCUACGGGAGGCAGCAGUAGGGAAUCUUCGGCAAUGGGGGCAACCCUGACCGAGCAACGCCGCGUGAGUGAAGAAGGUUUUCGGAUCGUAAAGCUCUGUUGUAAGUCAAGAACGAGUGUGAGAGUGGAAAGUUCACACUGUGACGGUAGCUUACCAGAAAGGGACGGCUAACUACGUGCCAGCAGCCGCGGUAAUACGUAGGUCCCGAGCGUUGUCCGGAUUUAUUGGGCGUAAAGCGAGCGCAGGCGGUUUGAUAAGUCUGAAGUUAAAGGCUGUGGCUCAACCAUAGUUCGCUUUGGAAACUGUCAAACUUGAGUGCAGAAGGGGAGAGUGGAAUUCCAUGUGUAGCGGUGAAAUGCGUAGAUAUAUGGAGGAACACCGGUGGCGAAAGCGGCUCUCUGGUCUGUAACUGACGCUGAGGCUCGAAAGCGUGGGGAGCGAACAGGAUUAGAUACCCUGGUAGUCCACGCCGUAAACGAUGAGUGCUAGGUGUUGGAUCCUUUCCGGGAUUCAGUGCCGCAGCUAACGCAUUAAGCACUCCGCCUGGGGAGUACGACCGCAAGGUUGAAACUCAAAGGAAUUGACGGGGGCCCGCACAAGCGGUGGAGCAUGUGGUUUAAUUCGAAGCAACGCGAAGAACCUUACCAGGUCUUGACAUCCCGAUGCUAUUUCUAGAGAUAGAAAGUUACUUCGGUACAUCGGUGACAGGUGGUGCAUGGUUGUCGUCAGCUCGUGUCGUGAGAUGUUGGGUUAAGUCCCGCAACGAGCGCAACCCCUAUUGUUAGUUGCCAUCAUUCAGUUGGGCACUCUAGCGAGACUGCCGGUAAUAAACCGGAGGAAGGUGGGGAUGACGUCAAAUCAUCAUGCCCCUUAUGACCUGGGCUACACACGUGCUACAAUGGUUGGUACAACGAGUUGCGAGUCGGUGACGGCAAGCUAAUCUCUUAAAGCCAAUCUCAGUUCGGAUUGUAGGCUGCAACUCGCCUACAUGAAGUCGGAAUCGCUAGUAAUCGCGGAUAAGCACGCCGCGGUGAAUACGUUCCCGGGCCUUGUACACACCGCCCGUCACACCACGAGAGUUUGUAACACCCGAAGUCGGUGAGGUAACCUUUUGGAGCCAGCCGCCUAAGGUGGGAUAGAUGAUUGGGGUG